rnacentral:rRNA from 1 species
GGAUUCCCCUAGUAACGGCGAGUGAAGCGGGAAAAGCUCAAAUUUAAAAUCUGGCGGUCUACGGCCGUCCGAGUUGUAGUCUAGAGAGGUGUUUUCCGUGCCGGACCAUGCACAAGUCCCUUGGAACAGGGCGUCAUAGAGGGUGAGAAUCCCGUCCGUGGCAUGGACUCCCGGUGCUCUGUGAUGCGCCUUCGAAGAGUCGAGUUGUUUGGGAAUGCAGCUCAAAACGGGUGGUAAAUUCCAUCUAAAGCUAAAUACAGGCGAGAGACCGAUAGCGAACAAGUACCGUGAGGGAAAGAUGAAAAGCACUUUGGAAAGAGAGUUAAACAGUACGUGAAAUUGUUGAAAGGGAAACGCUUGGAGUCAGUCGCGUUUGCCGGGACUCAGCCUUGCUUUUGCUUGGUGCACUUCCUGGUACACGGGCCAGCAUCGAUUUCGAUCGCCGGAAAAAGGCUUGGGGAAGGUGGCACCUCCGGGUGUGUUAUAGCCCCUCGUUGUAUACGGUGGUUGGGAUUGAGGACCGCAGCACGCCUUUUGGUCGGGGUUCGCCCACGCCACGUGCUUAGGAUGCUGGCGUAAUGGCUUUAAACGACCCGUCUUGAAACACGGACCAAGGAGUCUAACAUGCCUGCGAGUGUUUGGGUGUAAAACCCAGGCGCGUAAUGAAAGUGAAAGGUUGGGACUCUUCGCUGAGGCACCGACGCCCGAUCCUGACGUUCUCCGACGGAUUUGAGGUAGAGCAUGUAUGUUGGGACCCGAAAGAUGGUGAACUAUGCCUGAAUAGGGCGAAGCCAGAGGAAACUCUGGUGGAGGCUCGUAGCGAUUCUGACGUGCAAAUCGAUCGUCAAAUUUGGGUAUAGGGGCGAAAGACUAAUCGAACCAUCUAGUAG